CCCCGUCACCCACCGGGUCCCUUCUGAGCGCUCCCCCUCGCACCGCGGGUCCGCCGCUCCCGCCUUCCACCUCACGGAACGCGGCCCCUCCGCUCCCGCCUUCCCCCUCAGGGAACACGGCGCCGGCGGCUCCGAGCCGUGAAGGGGGGAGCGGGGCGCCCUAAGUGAAAGCGCCUGAAACAGCGCGCAGACCAUGGACUCGACUCUGCCUCCCCCCACAUCAGCCUUUUAACCCGCACAGCAUCUUUAAUUUAAACGGAAAUUAAUCUCCGGCCCAAAUAGGCCGGGAUUUGGCUCACCUGCGGCUCCCGUCGCCUGGACCCGGAGGAGGCAGCAAACUGUAAGGAAUGUGUCAGGGACUCCGAGAGCGUUGCCCAUUCCUUGUGUUUCUACGUGAAAUGCAUUUCUAGCCACACCCAUAAAGAACUUGUCUCUCCUGACAGUACACAGUGGGCACCAAUUUGCUUCCUCAAGAUUUCAGAAUGUGCAUCUGAGGACUUAGGCUGCGCGUCGUAA
rnacentral:lncRNA from 1 species